rnacentral:lncRNA from 1 species
GUAGAAACCAGUUUGUAAGGGAAAGCUACAACCCCCCAGGAUUCAGACCCUCAGCCCUGGGAGCGCCCUCAGGCAAAACGAGCUGUCUGAUGACUUCUCCGUGCAAACAGAGCUGUGGCUCUCAGAAGAACCAGAGGUGCAUUUCCCCAGGGCCUGGUCUAAGGGCAGGCAGCUUUCACCACAGAGAACUACUAGCACAGCAAACGACUGACGCAAACCUGCUGCUCUCUCUUCCCUUGUCUGGGCACUUACGGAAAGCCAGGUUGAUGUCCCUCAACCCUGUGAGAGCCAAAGCCCCCGAUCCUGCCUUCUGUGGUCUCAUCGUAGCAGAGAGGCUCUGGACCAGGCCAGCACUUCCUGACAAGCCCAUCUCUCCUCACACUUCGUACCCCCCAGAAAUCCUUCACUACACCUCUCUCUGCUCCCUGGGGGAAGAAGAAGAAGAAGAUGACAAGGGCAGCAAGCCGCAGGAGCCCAGGGACUGCAGAGUGAGAAAGCACCAUCCGGACAGCGAUUUGAUUUGCUAGGGCUGGGACAGCUGGGAAGCAAGGAGAACCUGCCCCACCUAGCUGGAUAUCAUGGUAUAAUUGUUUCCUCUCCUGUACUCAUGACAAUGGCUGAGUCACCAUUUGACCUUCUCCAGAGCACUACCCCAAUAUGAUGGCUUAUGAUUGAAUCUCAAAUACAGAUCUUUGGCUCACAGCAAAUUUUCCUCUUUUUGUUCUGAGGACGCUGCCCAGUGAGAUAUACAGAGGCACCCUACUCCACAUGUCAGGGCUGCUCCCUUUGGUAGCUAGGAACCUAGAAAAAUGGCCAGGAGCAAUGUGGGGCUCCUUACAUACUCCCCCUGCUCAGACUGAAGCCUAUAGGACAGGUCAGCCACCACCCACCCAUCCGCUGCAUUAAUACCUGUAGACGUCGCCACUGCUGACAGUUUAUUAUACAGUCAUAGUGGGGCUCAGCACUUAUCCCUGUUAGAGCAAAACCUCGCCUGUUCCUCUGGGAUGGGAGGAGCCAUUGCGGAGCAGACAAAGAGAGGAUCUCUGCACCCCUUUGCUGAGCUUCAUGCCAGUUGCACAUCGCUCUGUGGGGUGGCUGGGACUGGGAUUAUGCCUCACUGCUGGCCACGAAUUUCAGAGAGGGAGUGGGGGACUCCAGGAGACCUGGCACUGCCACUGGCCUGCUGGGUGACCAUGGGCAGUCACUGCCCUGCUCUGGGUCUCAGUUUCCCCAUCUGUAAAAUGGCAACAAUGAGUCCCUUAGCUCUUUUUUACAAAGCACUUUGAGUGCUCCAGAGGAAAGGGGCUACAUAAGCAUGAGGUGGUAAUAGGAAGCUAGCGAGCAAGGAUGGUCUGUGGAGUUGCAUGACACCUGCUCCAAGGGUUCGGAUGUUGAUUCCCUUCUCUCAGCCCCUCUGGCAUGCCCCGCCUCAAGCCCAUUUAGUCAGGCUGCAUGGGGAGAAAAGAGGGAAUUUCACCCAGGUUGAAUGAGCAAUUGGGUGAAUGGUCGUACCAUCCUGGGUCUUCU